UACGUAGGGUGCAAGCGUUGUCCGGAAUUAUUGGGCGUAAAGAGCUCGUAGGCGGUCUGUCGCGUCUGCUGUGAAAACUCAGGGCUUAACCCUGAGCUUGCAGUGGGUACGGGCAGACUAGAGUGCGGUAGGGGAGACUGGAAUUCCUGGUGUAGCGGUGAAAUGCGCAGAUAUCAGGAGGAACACCGGUGGCGAAGGCGGGGUCUCUGGGCC
rnacentral:rRNA from 1 species